GAUAUUUCAGCUCUGCCAUUUAGAGGCCAUGCAGUGCUUCAGAGACAGCACUGGUUUCACUGUUUGAUGACCUCUGCUGUUGAAUGUUUGUGACUGGCUUUACUGACCACUUGCCCACAUUACAAACUGCCUGACUGAAGCUUCAUUUAUUGAUUUGAACAUACCUUGGGCACAUCAGGUAACUUCAAACGAGAAGCGCUCGGAGAGCCUGAAGAGUGAUGGCGAUGCUCUGCUCCGUGCUCUGCAGAGCCUGGCCCAGCCCGCCAGCUGUCACGCUGACGUUGCUGUUGCAUCCCUGGCAUCUGAAAUUCUGAGAACGGUGGCACGUGAAAAUCCAAAGCCAACCAAGUGAGCUACUUUUGACCAGCCCACCGAAAUGCACAGCUGUGUGUGAUGCUCAGUGCUGUCCUCAAUCAACAUCUUCACGUGAGCAAAGCAGACCUAACACCCAGUGAGUCGCUGCUGUGUCAGAGGACAGGCAUGGCUUUGGCUUCUCCAGAAGGAACAGCUUUCUUUGGGGUGAAUUCUUGAUUGCUAUUUUACCUUGCUGGCAUUGUGUGAUGUAGUGCAAGUACUUGAUAGCCAGAGCUUGAGAAGUGUAAAUAAAAUAGCUGUUUCAC
rnacentral:lncRNA from 7 species